ACAGGUGCUGCAUGGCUGUCGUCAGCUCGUGUCGUGAGAUGUUGGGUUAAGUCCCGCAACGAGCCGCAACCCUUGCCUUUAGUUGCCAGCAGUUCGGCUGGGCACUCUAAAGGGACUGCCGGUGUUAAACCGGAGGAAGGUGGGGAUGACGUCAAGUCCUCAUGGCCUUUAUGACCAGGGCUACACACGUACUACAAUGGCCGAUACAAAGGGCAGCGACACUGCGAGGUGAAGCCAAUCCCGUAAAAUCGGUCUCAGUCCGGAUUGGAGUCUGCAACUCGACUCCAUGAAGUUGGAAUCGCUAGUAAUCGUGGAUCAGCAUGCCACGGUGAAUACGUUCCCGGGCCUU
rnacentral:rRNA from 1 species